rnacentral:lncRNA from 1 species
CAUCAAGCAGGGGGAAGAGAGAAAUUAAAGAACGAAGAGUUGUACUAGUACAAGGGAUAUGAAAUAUUAAGGAGAAGAUUAAUCUGAAGAAAAUCAUAAUGCAAAGUAAUCCAAAUCCAUGUAUGCAUGCAACUCGAUGACUACGACUAUGAUGAUGACAACUACGACAAUUAUGAUGACUAUAACUAUUAAGACGACGAUUACAAUGACUAAGAAACUAACAACAUAUAUUUAUUGUGGAAUUUAAUUGCUUAUUUAAAGUACAUCUCCAACAACACUCCAAAAAAUUCAAAAUUAAAUAUCAUAAUACUUGAUUCCUAAGGGUAGUU